rnacentral:tRNA from 1 species
GGGGAUGUUGCUUAGUGUUAGAGUACUUGCCUAACAUUUGCAAGGUCCUAGAUUUAAUCCCUAGUAUCUCUA